CCUACGGGAGGCAGCAGUAGGGGAUAUUGCACAAUGGGGGAAACCCUGAUGCAGCGACGCCGCGUGAGUGAAGAAGUAUUUCGGUAUGUAAAGCUCUAUCAGCAGGGAAGAAAAUGACAGUACCGAACCAAGAAGCCCCGGCUAACUACGUGCCAGCAACCGCGGGAAUACGUAGGGGGCAAGCGUUAUCCGGAUUUACUGGGUGGAAAGGGAGCGUAGACGGUUAAGUAAGUCUGGAGUUAAAGCCCGGGGCCCAACCCCGGGACUGCUUUGGAAACUGUGUAACUGGAGUACAGGAGGGGCAGGCGGAAUUCCUGGUGUAGCGGUGAAAUGCGUAGAUAUCAGGAGGAACACCGGCGGCGAAGGCGGCCUGCUGGACUGAAACUGACGUUGAGGCUCGAAAGCGUGGGGAGCAAACAGGAUUAGAUACCCCGGUAGUC
rnacentral:rRNA from 1 species